ACAUUUGGCCAAGGAGAUGUAGGUUACAAAGCUGCAGUGCCCUCUUCAGAACCAAACAAGGUGGGAGAAAUAACUGCAGUCUGUAAGGAGAGCGGAAAAUUUUAAGACAUUCAAUACAACUGCAUCCUGUUGCCAGUUAAGGAGCUGCUUGACCAGUCUCAGUUCUUGACUGCCACUACCUUGCCAGCAUUUUUGGAACAGCUCAGCAAUGUCACUGUCAGUUUUACUGAAGAAGUGAUUAAAUCUCCUCCCAACAUUAAAGCUAUUGUGAAAAUACUCACCAAUGUAGCCAACAAAACUUCAUCCUUCGAUGUCUCAAUUAGCAGAGAUUCAAUGGAGAAUGUCUUGAUAACAGCAGGGGUUCUCACCAUCAAUGGAACAAAGCAAGCAUGGAACAUA